GAUGAACGCUGGCGGCGUGCCUAAUACAUGCAAGUCGAACGCACAGUCGAUUAGAUUGCUGCUCUUACGUUAUCGUUGGUCAGCUGAUUAACACGUGGAGAACGUAUCUAUAACACGUGGAUAACUUCGGGUAACGGGAGCUAUUACCUUAUGAUAUAUUUAAUAAUACGGCUCAAUACUUAAAGACGGUUGUGGUGGCGCUGAUAGAUGGUUUCGCCUCUCAUUUUAGGAUGGACCCGCGAUGCAUUAGUUAGUUGGUGAGGUAAAGGCUUACCAAGACCACGAUGCGUAGCCGACCUGAGAGGGUAAUCGGCCACACUGGAACUGAGACACGGCCCAGACUCCUACGGGAGGCAGCAGUAGGGAAUCUUCCACAAUGGACGAAAGUCUGACGGAGCAACGCCGCGUGAGUGAUGAAGGUUUUCGGAUCGUAAAACUCUGUUGUUAGAGAAGAAUGUAUCUGUAAGUAACUGAGCAGGUAGUGACGGUACCCAACCAGAAAGCCACGGCUAACUACGUG
rnacentral:rRNA from 1 species